rnacentral:lncRNA from 1 species
AGAUGACUUAACAGCUUUAGGAAGUCCCCAAAACUGGCAAAAUUCACCAGUGCCCUCCUGCCUCAAGCAUAUAUAAUCAGUAUGGACUCUGACACUAUCAGACAAAAUGAGCUUCGCAGAACAUGUUCAGACCAGCCAUCAAGCAGAUCCCAGCCAGUCAAGUUGCCUGAAUCAGACAAAACAGGUCAAGCUGUCUGGAGGAUGUAGUGAGUGGCCUCAAAGACAAACCUCCCACCUCAGGUGAGCUGCCUGCAAGCUAUGCAGUGGUCCCCGGGUUUGCAGCUUCAUUAGCCACCACCCUCACAGGGUGAAGCAACUGUUACUCGGUCCUUUUUGUUUCUAUCAGUAGCUACUCACCCACACUCUUGUAAGUCACACAUUAUACUAACUGGUCCGCUGACAUUUAGAGAUGACUCAGUGGUUAAGAGCACUGUCUGCUUUUUCAGAAGACUCACUCUGAGUUCUCAGCACCCUCACAUGGGCACUCAAUCUGUAACCUUAACUCCAGGGCAUCCAGUGCCCUCUUCUGGACUCUGUGAGCACCAGGAACACACAUAGUUCGCCAAAAUACAUGCAGAUGAAACAUCAAUAGAAAGAAACCACAUUGGUGCCCCAAGUUGAACUCUGUUGGUUCCCAACAUUGAUUUGUCAUUGAUUCCUCAUCUGGGAUAAGUAUAUGUGUGUGUUUGUUUCCACAGGAAUAGUGCCACAUGUUAGUUAUGUCCUGUGACACCCAGACUUCUUUCUUUGUUUGAGAAUAUAUACACUGAUUUUCAGAGUGGAUUCUCUAGUUCUCACUCCCCAGCAGUAUUGGCCUCCUUCCCACAUGUGUAUGCCAAGAGUCGUUAACAUUCCUGAUGAUGGACACUGUAAUUAGGGGAGCAUGUUAGCUUAAAGAAAUCCUUGUCUGAAUUCCACUGAUAAUUUUACAAACUUUUUUAUUUUUGUCUGGGUUUCUUGUGUUUGUUUUACUUCUGUUCUGUUUUUUUUUUUGUACUGUAAAAUUUUAUAAUAAUAGUGUAACUACAUCAUGCUUCAUUUCCUUUUCCUACUGCCAAAUUCUUGCAUAUAUUCUUUCCUGCUCUCUUUUAAAUUCGUGCCUUGUCAUUUCAUUAUUAUUGUAUGUAUAAUAUGUAUGAGUGUAUUACGUAUAAUUUAUGUAUAACAUAUAUAUUCCUAAAUCUAACCUUGUCUGUCUGUCUUAUACUACUUGUGUAUAUGUUUCCAAUGCUGACCAUUUGGCUUUGGAUAACUCGUUGGUAUUCUCUCCCUGAGGGAGGCUCCUGCUGCCAGCAUUGUCAGUUGCCUGUAGUACACUCCAUAGGGAUUGAGGCCUUGUGGACUUUUCCCCAUCCACUUUGGCAUGUCCAUUGCUGUUGUGCUUGUUCAGCUCUUGUUUGAGCAGUCAUGAUUUUGAAAUUUUAUGGAUAUAGCUCCUAGCAUUACUAGGUGAAACAAUCUCACAGCAAACUCCUUGAUCCUCUGCCUCUUGAAUAUUAAUAGCCCAUCUUCAAAAAUAUUCCUUGAGCCUUAGGUGCAUGAGUGUUUUGUAGAUAUAUCCAUCAUAUGUGGGCUCAACAACUCUACAUUUUGCAGUUGUAGAUUUUUUUGUAGUGGUCUCUCUGUUGGAAGGAAAAUUUCCUUACUGAGGGAAGAAAACUAUAUUUAUUUGUGGAUAUGAGAAAAAAUAUUUAAAUUUUAUUAGGAACAAAUCUGAAUUAGUAAAUUGGUGGUGGUUGGUUCUCCUCCAAGAUUCGUAACUUCACCAGCAGUGAGAAGUUAGCUAGCUUUCCAGUACCAGUCAUAGUUUCCCUGUUGUUAUGAAUAUCUUAAGUCCAAUUAGAGAGCUGUUGGUUUUCACCAAGGUGAACUUGCCAUUACUGAACCUCUAGAGCUAUCCUGACACGGUGAUCAUCAAUGUGGUUCAUAGGCAUUAUAGCUGGGUAGAACUGUUCAUGAUAUUCUUCCUUUAGAGCUUUACAUGCUUCUUCUGGUAUCACACAAGCUAAUUCUCUGAGAGGAGUUUGGUGUAUUUUGAGAUAGGGUCUGUCUGUAUUACUAGCUGGCCUAGAUUCCGUAUGUAGAUCAGGCUGGCCUUGAACAUAGACUUGCCCUGUUUCUACCUCAUGAGUUCUAGGUUUGAAGGCUUGCAUGACCUUGCCCAAUGAAGCGUAACUGUUUCUGAUUACUUUGUUUGUUGGUAUGUUUGUUUGAAGAGACAGGGUCUAACCUUGACUGACUUUGAACUCACAGGAUCUGACUGCCUGUCUUCUGAGUCCUUGGGAUUAAAGGCUUUCACAACCACUGCCAAGAUUUAAUGUCUUGACAAUUCCAGAAAGUAAGGGCACAACCCACUUGAUAGAAAUGAGUUAACAAGUAGAUCUUAUUUCUACUCACAUUAAAUACUUCUAUUGCAUAAAAUCACUAACUUGAAAUAGAUGAAGUUCCAGGUGCAUAUAAGACACCAAAUGUAAAUAACAUGAAAUAAAUAAUAUAAACAAGAUG